rnacentral:rRNA from 1 species
GAUCUGGCUCAGGAUGAACGCUGGCGGCGUGCUUAACACAUGCAAGUCGAACGGGAAACUUUUCAUUGAAGCUUCGGCAGAUUUGGUCUGUUUCUAGUGGCGGACGGGUGAGUAACGCGUGGGUAACCUGCCUUAUACAGGGGGAUAACAACCGGAAAUGGUUGCUAAUACCGCAUAAGCGCACAGGACCGCAUGGUCCGGUGUGAAAAACUCCGGUGGUAUAAGAUGGACCCGCGUUGGAUUAGCUAGUUGG